rnacentral:lncRNA from 1 species
UUAUGGGAAUGGUCUGGGAGCCGGGGUCUUCCUGCAGCCAGGUGCCUGGGGGUGCUGGGGUGGGGUGGGGUGGGGGCCCAGGGGCUACUCCUGUCUGACUUCCUCCUCCCUCCUCCAGAGUUCCCUGGGGCCAAUGGCUUUAGGAACGGUGAGUGGGGGGCAGAGGGCAGAGGGCAGGGGAUGAGGGCGAGGGAUGUCCAGGGGCCAGGCCGGAAUCUCUUGGAUCUUUUACAGGCUACGGGGAGGAAGCACCUGCCUACCCCAAAGCAGCAGUUCCAGGCCCCGAAGGAAAUGGUAGGAACGAGUGUUUAGGGGAUGAACCGCUGCCUGGGACCUCUGAGGCCCCGGGAAGUUUGCGGCAUCCUGGACGUCCAGCUCCAGAAGGCCAGGGUGCUCACAGUAGCCCUCCUCUGCAGGUCAGGCCGGGGCCCUCCGCGGCUCUUCCUGGCCCUCCGUCCAGCCCUGGGGCCUCGCCCCGAAGCCUGGAUAUGGGGCUGGAGGCGCGUAUUCAGGGGUCGGGAGCCAGCCAGCAACCUAUGGACAGCUGAGGCCAGAGCUGGGUCCCGGACCCUUCGGCAGCCCGGAUGUGAAGAGAGGCAGCAGCGGCCUGGGAAACGGCUAUGGAGGUGAGACGGUCAUGGUGGCCCUGCCCGCCCCCCUUGCCCUCUGUUACCACUGUUGCCCCUCCAGGCUGGCUCCCCAGCCCUUGGAGGGACAGCGGGCUCUCAGGUCGCCUGUGGGUAUCUGUUGAGUGACUUAGAGACCAGAGGAGGAAGAGGGACAGCUUGGGGGCCCUGGGAGGCAAGGAGGGGUCCAGACCUCACCAGGGCCCUGUCUCUCCCCAGGCCCCUGACCUCUUGGGAGGCACUGAGCCCUGAGGCCCUGCUGACCCCUCCUGAGAACCCUGGACGCAGCCUGGGGUGUUGGGCAAGGGCGCCCAGACCCAGGGGCGUGCUUCUGGCCUGGGGUCUCCUGCAGGCUGAAAGUAUUAAUAAAGGCGACGUGCUUCACUGUUUGGCUGCGUGC